rnacentral:rRNA from 1 species
GGACUGCCAUCGACAAGAUGGAGGAAGUGGGGAUGACGUCAAGUCAUCAUGGCCCUUAUGUCCAGGGCGACACACGUGCUACGAAUGGACCGGGCACAACGGGAAGCGAGUUCGCGAGGACGAGCGGAUCCCUACAAAGCCGGUCGCAGGUUCGGAUUGAAGUCUGCAACUCGACUUCAUGAAGCUGGAAUCGCUAGUAAUCGUGGAUCAGCCAAGCCGCGGUGAAUACCGGUUCCCGGGCCUU